rnacentral:rRNA from 1 species
CCUACGGGAGGCUGCAGUGGGGAAUAUUGGACAAUGGGGGGAACCCUGAUCCAGCCAUGCCGCGUGUGUGAAGAAGGCCCUCGGGUUGUAAAGCACUUUCAGUGAGGAAGAACGCCUGGUGGUUAAUACCCAUCAGGAAAGACAUCACUCACAGAAGAAGCACCGGCUAACUCCGUGCCAGCAGCCGCGGUAAUACGGAGGGUGCGAGCGUUAAUCGGAAUUACUGGGCGUAAAGCGCGCGUAGGUGGCUUGAUAAGCCGGUUGUGAAAGCCCCGGGCUCAACCUGGGAACGGCAUCCGGAACUGUCUAACUAGAGUGUAGAAGAGGAGGGUGGAGUUCCCCGUGUAGCGGUGAAAUGCGUAGAGAUCGGGAGGAAUACCCGUGGCGAAGGCGGCCUUCUGGACUGACACUGACACUGAGGUGCGAAAGCGUGGGUAGCAAACAGGAUUAGAUACCCGAGUAGUC